rnacentral:rRNA from 2 species
UCGUACGACUCUGGUAUUGAUUGGUGCUUGCAUCAUGAUUUACAUUUGAGUGAGUGGCGAACUGGUGAGUAACACGUGGGAAACCUGCCCAGAAGCGGGGGAUAACACCUGGAAACAGAUGCUAAUACCGCAUAACAACUUGGACCGCAUGGUCCGAGCUUGAAAGAUGGCUUCGGCUAUCACUUUUGGAUGGUCCCGCGGCGUAUUAGCUAGAUGGUGGGGUAACGGCUCACCAUGGCAAUGAUACGUAGCCGACCUGAGAGGGUAAUCGGCCACAUUGGGACUGAGACACGGCCCAAACUCCUACGGGAGGCAGCAGUAGGGAAUCUUCCACAAUGGACGAAAGUCUGAUGGAGCAACGCCGCGUGAGUGAAGAAGGGUUUCGGCUCGUAAAACUCUGUUGUUAAAGAAGAACAUAUCUGAGAGUAACUGUUCAGGUAUUGACGGUAUUUAACCAGAAAGCCACGGCUAACUACGUGCCAGCAGCCGCGGUAAUACGUAGGUGGCAAGCGUUGUCCGGAUUUAUUGGGCGUAAAGCGAGCGCAGGCGGUUUUUUAAGUCUGAUGUGAAAGCCUUCGGCUCAACCGAAGAAGUGCAUCGGAAACUGGGAAACUUGAGUGCAGAAGAGGACAGUGGAACUCCAUGUGUAGCGGUGAAAUGCGUAGAUAUAUGGAAGAACACCAGUGGCGAAGGCGGCUGUCUGGUCUGUAACUGACGCUGAGGCUCGAAAGUAUGGGUAGCAAACAGGAUUAGAUACCCUGGUAGUCCAUACCGUAACGAUGAUGCUAAGUGUUGGAGGGUUCCGCCCCUUCAGUGCUGCAGCUAACGCAUUAAGCAUUCCGCCUGGGGAGUACGGCCGCAAGGCUGAAACUCAAAGGAAUUGACGGGGGCCCGCACAAGCGGUGGAGCAUGUGGUUUAAUUCGAAGCUACGCGAAGAACCUUACCAGGUCUUGACAUACUAUGCAAAUCUAAGAGAUUAGACGUUCCCUUCGGGGACAUGGAUACAGGUGGUGCAUGGUUGUCGUCAGCUCGUGUCGUGAGAUGUUGGGUUAAGUCCCGCAACGAGCGCAACCCUUAUUAUCAGUUGCCAGCAUUAAGUUGGGCACUCUGGUGAGACUGCCGGUGACAAACCGGAGGAAGGUGGGGAUGACGUCAAAUCAUCAUGCCCCUUAUGACCUGGGCUACACACGUGCUACAAUGGAUGGUACAACGAGUUGCGAACUCGCGAGAGUAAGCUAAUCUCUUAAAGCCAUUCUCAGUUCGGAUUGUAGGCUGCAACUCGCCUACAUGAAGUCGGAAUCGCUAGUAAUCGCGGAUCAGCAUGCCGCGGUGAAUACGUUCCCGGGCCUUGUACACACCGCCCGUCACACCAUGAGAGUUUGUAACACCCAAAGUCGGUGGGGUAACCUUUUAGGAACCAGCCGCCUAAGGUGGGACAGAUGAUA